rnacentral:rRNA from 1 species
UACGUAGGUGGCAAGCGUUGUCCGGAAUUAUUGGGCGUAAAGCGCGCGCAGGCGGCCUUUUAAGUCUGAUGUGAAAGCCCACGGCUCAACCGUGGAAGGUCAUUGGAAACUGAAGGGCUUGAGUACAGAAGAGGAAAGCAGAAUUCCACGUGUAGCGGUGAAAUGCGUAGAGAUGUGGAGGAACACCAGUGGCGAAGGCGGCUUUCUGGUCUGUAACUGACGCUGAGGCGCGAAAGCGUGGGGAGCAAACAGG